UACGUAGGGUGCGAGCGUUGUCCGGAAUUAUUGGGCGUAAAGAGCUCGUAGGCGGUUUGUCGCGUCGGCCGUGAAAUCUCCACGCUUAACGUGGAGCGUGCGGUCGAUACGGGCAGACUUGAGUUCGGCAGGGGAGACUGGAAUUCCUGGUGUAGCGGUGAAAUGCGCAGAUAUCAGGAGGAACACCGGUGGCGAAGGCGGGUCUCUGGGCCGAUGACUGACGCUGAGGAGCGAAAGCGUGGGGAGCGAACAGG
rnacentral:rRNA from 1 species